AUUAUUAUUUUUAUAAAUUAUGUAGAAGGCUUUUAGAUUUAAGGCUCUAAAUAGUUGAUAAGCUUGCUGAGGCGAGGUGGCCGCGUCGCCCCGGGGAUGGGUGGUCGGAACAGGGGAUGGAGCAUCUGGGCAAGAGUUCGCCUCCUUAGUCUCCUGAUGGAACGGACACCUUGAAGGAUGCGGGCAAGAUUAUUGGCGUGUGUGGCUAGCCGAAUGUUAUAUAAUCCUAAUCUGCUCAUCGAGCCAGGGGAUCUGCAGAUCUCUGUAGAAGAUGCCUUUGCGCACGUACUAUGGAACUCCUGCCAUCCGGCGAAGAGUCUUGCUUUGAAGAGAUUGAACUCUGUUUCGGUUAGAUCGCAGAUCUGUAUGGCAUCAGCUCGUCGGGAAUGUUUGCUCCACUUAAUAAAUUGUAUGAAAAAUUAAGCAGAAAGGAAUGUACAAUAUCA